AUGGGCUCUGGGUUAGUUAAAGAUUUGGUUGGUUGGAUGGUUGGGCUCUCUCCCAACUCCCAAGAGAGAGAGAGAGAGAGAGAGAGAGAGAAAGAGAGACAGAUCUCUCUCUCUAUACAUCUGUUCGUUGGUCUGUGAGAAGCGGACAAACCAAAGAAAGAAAAGAGGUGACAUGGGUGGAUUCAGAGAGUUCGGUGCUGAUCAACAUUCCUCCUCCUCAAACAUAUUCCACUCCAUCACCGCCAUAGUCAUCUGGCUUGGCUCCGUUCACCUGAACGUCGCUAUUGUUCUCUCCUCCCUCAUUUUCCUUCCCCCUUCUCUCUCCCUCCUGGUAUUGGGUCUGCUCUUUCUCUUAAUCUUCAUCCCCAUCGAUGAUCGUAGCAAAUACGGUCGAAUGCUCGCUAGGUACAUAUGUAAACACGCGUGUAGUUAUUUUCCUGUUACUCUCCAUGUCGAGGAUUACGAAGCUUUCCAGCCUACUCGUGCCUAUGUUUUUGGUUAUGAACCACAUUCGGUGUGGCCUAUUGGAGCUGUUGCACUUGCUGAUCUUACAGGGUUCAUGCCUCUUCCUAACAUCAAAGUUCUUGCUAGUACUGCUGUAUUCUACACACCGUUUCUGAGGCAAAUAUGGACGUGGUUAGGGCUCGCCCCUGCUUCUAGGAAGAAUUUCGCUUCCUAUUUGGACUCUGGCUAUAGUUGUAUCCUCGUACCUGGUGGUGUCCAGGAGACAUUUCACAUGAAACAUGAUGUUGAGAACUUAUUCCUUUCAUCGAGAAGGGGGUUUGUGCGCAUAGCCAUGGAGCAUGGGACACCUCUCGUUCCAGUUUUCUGCUUUGGUCAGUCACGAGUGUACAAGUGGUGGAAGCCGGACUGGAACCUCUACCUUAAACUAUCAAGAGCCAUCAAGUUCACUCCCAUCUGUUUCUGGGGUGUUUUUGGAUCCCCAAUACCAUUUCGACACCCUCUGCAUGUUGUGGUUGGGAAACCAAUAGAAGUUAGAAAAACUCUGCAGCCAACUGAUGAAGAGAUUGCUAAGGUACAUGGACAGUUUGUGGAAGCGCUUAAGGAUCUGUUUGAGAGGCACAAGGCCAGAGCAGGCUUCUCUGAUCUGCAGUUGAAUAUUCUUUGAAUCAACUUGUCAAAAUGGUUUUGUGUAAUAUCCUGAACUAUUUGUCGUUAACUUGGAGGUGGCUUUGGAUUUACCUAUGUAUGUCUUAUACGUUUGUAUCAACUUUGGAUUAUAAAGAUCCAUUUACUCUUAUCUAAAUAUUAUUGGUAGAGCAGAUA